rnacentral:rRNA from 1 species
GACCCACCUGACUCCAUUCCGAACUCAGAAGUGAAACGAAAUAGCGCCGAUGGUAGUGUGGGGUUUCCCCAUGUGAGAGUAGGACAUCGCCAGGC